CGAGACGUAGCUUUAACCGAAAGCAUUCAGCUUACACCUGAAAGAUGCCUGCUCACACCAGGUCGUCUCGA
rnacentral:tRNA from 1 species